AUUCAGCUGACGAGCCCGAAAUAGGGCGAAAUUUGUGUUCUGGAU
rnacentral:hammerhead_ribozyme from 1 species